UACGUAGGGUGCGAGCGUUGUCCGGAAUUAUUGGGCGUAAAGAGCUCGUAGGCGGUUUGUCGCGUCGACUGUGAAAACCCGAGGCUUAACCUCGGGCCUGCAGUCGAUACGGGCAGACUAGAGUUCGGUAGGGGAGACUGGAAUUCCAGGUGUAGCGGUGAAAUGCGUAGAUAUCUGGAGGAACACCGGUGGCGAAGGCGGCAUCCUGGACCGGCAUUGACGCUGAGGCGCGAAAGCCAGGGGAGCAAACGGG
rnacentral:rRNA from 1 species